GAUGAACGCUGGCGGCGUGCCUAAUACAUGCAAGUCGAGCGAACAGACGAGGAGCUUGCUCCUCUGACGUUAGCGGCGGACGGGUGAGUAACACGUGGAUAACCUACCUAUAAGACUGGGAUAACUUCGGGAAACCGGAGCUAAUACCGGAUAAUAUAUUGAACCGCAUGGUUCAAUAGUGAAAGACGGUUUUGCUGUCACUUAUAGAUGGAUCCGCGCCGCAUUAGCUAGUUGGUAAGGUAACGGCUUACCAAGGCAACGAUGCGUAGCCGACCUGAGAGGGUGAUCGACCACACUGGAACUGAGACACGGUCCAGACUCCUACGGGAGGCAGCAGUAGGGAAUCUUCCGCAAUGGGCGAAAGCCUGACGGAGCAACGCCGCGAGAGUGAUGAAGGUCUUCGGAUCGUAAAACUCUGUUAUUAGGGAAGAACAAAUGUGUAAGUAACUAUGCACGUCUUGACGGUACCUAAUCAGAAAGCCACGGCUAACUACGUG
rnacentral:rRNA from 1 species